CUGUCAAGUUUUGUGUCCGUCUCUUCUAUGCACAUCUAUUUAUUUAUUUAUUUUUUUAGGAUCAGAUGUCUUAGCUGUCACCUGCUGCGGACAGUGUUGAAUCUUAAUACAGAAAAGCAAAAUUAAAAAAAAAAAUAACCCAAACAAUAGUUUCAAUAGCUUUUUUUUUUUUAACUUGAGAUCAUCUCUCAUCUGAACAAGAAAGGCUGUAUCUAGAGCAGGUCCCUAGGAGACUGUUUUUCCCGUAGACUAGGAGAAUUCUUUGCAUGGUCCUUUCUCCAACCUGUAUCCCACAGAGACCGGAAAUCUCAGACUCCAACUCCAAAUUCAACCCACGACUCCCGACUCACGUGUCUUGCUCCCAGCAACAUAGUUAUUUUUCAGAGAAAAGGAACCCGGUGGCACUGAUUGUUGCUUCUUUCCUGCAAUCUGGCUAUGAGGCCUGCAAUCUCCCCUCCUGGCUAACAGCAGAGCUAAUGACUCCCUGUCCUGAUCUGUUGCCUUGCUCCUGAGGAGGGUCCAGCAGAGCUGGGCACUUUCCUAGCAUGACUUUUGGGGUCACAGGAGAUGGCCUCUUCUAUUUCUAUAGCCCUGACAUCUGUCCUCCUUCAAGCUAUUCCAAGCCUUUGCAUUCAUUUUGCCACAAAAAUAUCUGGAGAGAGGACCCUGGAAUCACGGCCUGCAUUUCCUCUCUUCUCAUCCACCCAACACUUUAUUUCAU
rnacentral:lncRNA from 1 species